AGAUUGAACGCUGGCGGCAUGCUUUACACAUGCAAGUCGAACGGGCUGUUGGGGCAACCUGGCAGUCAGUGGCGAACGGGUGAGUAAUGCAUCGGAACGUGUCCCGUAGUGGGGGAUAACCCGGCGAAAGCCGGACUAAUACCGCAUAUGCUCUGAGGAGGAAAGUGGGGGAUCCGACAAGGACCUCACGCUAUGGGAGCGGCCGAUGUCCGAUUAGCUU
rnacentral:rRNA from 1 species